ACCUGGCUGGCUAGUCGGAAGAGCAUGAGACUCUUGAUCUCGGGGUUGUGAGUUCAAGCCCCACGUUGGGCA
rnacentral:tRNA from 1 species